rnacentral:rRNA from 1 species
AUCUUAGGACCUCCCGCUACAGGGGCGGCCGAUGGCAGAUUAGCUAGUUGGUGGGGUAAAGGCCUACCAAGGCGACGAUCUGAAGCUGGUCUGAGANNNNNCCAGCCACACUGGGACUGAGACACGGCCCAGACUCANACGGGAGGCAGCAGUGGGGAAUUUUGGACAAUGGGGGAAACCCUGAUCCAGCAAUGCCGCGUGNGUGAAGAAGGCCUUCGGGUUGUAAAGCACUUUUGUCCGGAAAGAAAACCUCCGCCCUAAUAUGGUGGGGGGAUGACGGUACCGGAAGAAUAAGCACCGGCUAACUACGUGCCAGCAGCCGCGGUAAUACGUAGGGUGCAAGCGUUAAUCGGNAAUUACUGGGCGUAAAGCGUGCGCAGGCGGUCCGCUAAGACAGAUGUGAAAUCCCCGGGCUUAACCUGGGAACUGCAUUUGUGACUGGCGGGCUAGAGUAUGGCAGAGGGGGGUAGAAUUCCACGUGUAGCAGUGAAAUGCGUAGAGAUGUGGAGGAAUACCGAUGGCGAAGGCAGCCCCCUGGGCCAAUACUGACGCUCAUGCACGAAAGCGUGGGGAGCAAACAGGAUUAGAUACCCUGGUAGUCCACGCCCUAAACGAUGUCAACUAGUUGUUGGGGAUUCAUUUCCUUAGUAACGAAGCUAACGCGUGAAGUUGACCGCCUGGGGAGUACGGUCGCAAGAUUAAAACUCAAAGGAAUUGACGGGGACCCGCACAAGCGGUGGAUGAUGUGGAUUAAUUCGAUGCAACGCGAAAAACCUUACCUACCCUUGACAUGUAUGGAACCUGGCUGAGAGGUCGGGGUGCCCGAAAGGGAGCCAUAACACAGGUGCUGCAUGGCUGUCGUCAGCUCGUGUCGUGAGAUGUUGGGUUAAGUCCCGCAACGAGCGCAACCCUUGUCCCUAGUUGCUACGCAAGAGCACUCUAGGGAGACUGCCGGUGACAAACCGGAGGAAGGUGGGGAUGACGUCAAGUCCUCAUGGCCCUUAUGGGUAGGGCUUCACACGUCAUACAAGGGUCGGAUCGGAUUUUAUCCUGGCUCAGGAUAAGUCGUAACAAGGUAACCCUAGAGUUUGAUCCUGGCUCAGGAUAAGUCGUAACAAGGUAACCCUAGAGUUUGAUCCUGGCUCAG